AGAGGGUGCAAGCGUUAAUCGGAGUUACUGGGCGUAAAGGGCGCGUAGGCGGUCUAUUAAGUGAGAUGUGAAAUCCCUGGGCUUAACCUAGGAACUGCAUCUUAUACUGGUAGACUGGAGUACUGUAGAGGGUAGUGGAAUUUCCGGUGUAGCGGUGAAAUGCGUAGAGAUCGGAAGGAACACCAGUGGCGAAGGCGGCUACCUGGACAGAUACUGACGCUGAGGCGCGAGAGCGUGGGGAGCAANCAGGAUUAGAUACCCUGGUAGUCCACGCUGUAAACGAUGAGAACUAGAUGUUGGUAGGCUUGACCUAUUAGUAUCGAAGCUAACGCGAUAAGUUCUCCGCCUGGGGAGUACGGCCGCAAGGUUA
rnacentral:rRNA from 1 species